AACAUAUCAAGGAUAGACUCAGAGCAGGGGAAGAAAAUAUUUGUCAUCGGUUAGGAUGAACAUAUCAAGGAUAUACUUCUUGGGAAACGUGAAAACAAAUUCGCUGGGGGAAAAGGGGGUUACUUUUGUCGGGUAUUGGGAGAGAAGUAACAAAACUGCCAACUAAGAAGAAUAUUACUAGUUAUUGGGUAAUAAACUCUCAGGGGACCAAAAGCAUCUAUCUAGGUAAGAUCUAGAAAGAAACGGUAAUCAAGACUCAAC
rnacentral:lncRNA from 1 species